rnacentral:lncRNA from 1 species
ACGGUAAAGAUGAACACUGCAACUCUGUGUCUGCUUUCUGCGGCGGCUUUCGCGAUUUUCGUGCAUGGUGGACUGCCAGGUGCGCCUGGCGCAAGGGUUCUGGAAGCUUGCACUGCUAACUGCAGGAAUCGGAUCGCAGGACAACGGUGCGGACGUGGCUGUCGUUGCGCUCAUAGUAGAGUGUUCCCUGGUUUCUUAAUCUGUUUGCCGAUUCACGGAAGACGACCAUAUUCGUUUGAGAUACCAGGUUUAUGAACGAUAAUGUGAACUGCCUGCUCACUGCUAAGAUAUUUAUUCUGCUGUUUGAAAAUAAUAUGCAGAUCAUGAUGUUGUAGGUUGUUUGGUUUAAAAAGCAUGCACAAUAAAAAUUCUUCAGUA